GGGAGUUGUGGGGGGGCCGGUCCCUCCUCAGGUGAAGCCGCUGAUGGAGAUGAAGCCGCCGCCGCCGCCGCCGCUGAGUGCACAAGUCCUGGCUCCGGCCUGGCUGUCGCCGCCUCAGUGACCCCACUGCCCCCGCACUGGGCCACCCGGGCCAGAGUGGGGGACCCCCGCCCCCCUCUUCCCCACCCUAAACAGCCUGCGCGCGCGCGGAGACGCCUCAGUCUGCAUAAGGAAGACAGGGAAUCACAAAGAACAAGAGAAAAGAUGUGCUUCAUCUGAGAUCUGAAAGGAGACAAUGAGGUGACAUUAUUUUCCUCCACCCAGAUGUUAUGUUUCUACCUUUUACCUUUUCUUAUUUUAGAGACUGGCCAUUCCUAGGAUAACUGGGAAUUCAUAUCCUCUGCUCUGCUCUUCAAGCAUUUGGAUAAUAAAGCUGAGCUGUCUUCAUCUGUAUUAUACA
rnacentral:lncRNA from 1 species